GUUAUAGGGUUGCUAGUGUUAGAAAAUUCAUUAGUGAGCUUCCAAUUUUUUAAUUCUUUUCUGGUAGAGCUUGAGUAACAUAGGUAUUGUCUCUUCUUUAAAGAUUAGAUAGAACUGAACUGCAAAAUCAUUUGCUUCUGGUUCCUUUUUUUGGGAAAGAUUUUAUUAUUUAUUUGACAGGGCACAAGCACAAGCAGCGGGAGUGGCAGAGGGAGAAGCAGGCUCCCCACCGAGCAGGGAGUCUGAUGUGGGGAUCAGCCAGCCCAACUGACUUGUGCACCCAGGCACCUCUACCCUGGUUCCUUUUUUAGUGGUAGAUCUAGAAUCACAUUUCCAAUCCUAUCUCUAGUAAUUUGUCUACUCAAACCCUCUGUUUCUUGAGUUAAUGUUGGUAACUUCUAUUAGGAAAUCAUCCAUUACUUCUAGAAUUUUUAAUUUGAUGUCAUAGAUUUAUAUGUAAAAUUAUAAUUCUUUUAAUUACAUAUAUUUAUGUAGUUAGACUCUUUAUUAUUCAUAAUUUGUAUACUUUUGCUUUUUCUCUAUUUUCACUGAGUUGUACUCAUGAAGAAUCUGUUUUAUUGGUCUUUUCAAUGAACCAGCCUUUAAUUUAUCACUUUUACAAUUGUUUAUCUUGGUCAUUAUUUUUAUCUUUAACUUUUCUCAUUUCUUCUAUUUUAGGAUAUAUUCUGUUGUAUUUUUCCUUAUCUAAUUUUUUUUAUGACAGUCACACAGAUAGAGAGAGAGAGAGAGAGAGGCAGAGACACAGGCAGAGGGAGAAGCAGGCUCCAUGCACCGAGAGCCUGACGUGGGAUUCGAUCCCGGGUCUCCAGGAUCGCGCCCUGGGCCAAAGGCAGGCGCCAAACCGCUGCACCACCCAGGGAUCCCCUCCUUAUCUAAUUUUUAAAGAAGAAUGUUUAUUUCCUUUAUUUAUGCUCUUCUUAAAUAAUAAUGGUAAUUAAGACUUUAUUUUUUCUCUGAAUACAGCUUUAGUCAUGCCCUAUAGGCUUUGAUAUGAUGUAUUCCCUUUUUCUUUGUUUUCCAGAUAGCUUGCAAUUUUAGUUUUAACUUUCUCUUUGACCCAGUGGUUAUUUUAAAGGACAAUACUAUAUUAUCAGGCAGUUACAUUUUAUGGUGCUCUUUUAUUAUUUAUUUCUAAUUUUGUUAAGAUAAGAGGGUGUGCCUGUAAAUUCUUUAAUUUUUAAAAUAUAUAUCCUUAUUCAUAUAAUCUGAGUUUUUAAAUUUGAAAAUUUUAUUUUUCAGUCCCCAAAAUUACUUUUCUUGCUUUAAUUAUAGUCUUUGCAGUGGUAUCAUUAUUUAUUUUGCUAAAGAUUAUAUCUGAUUCCUUUGAUUGUUCUAUUUCAGUGGGAGAUAAUAUAAAUUUGCAGUUCACAGGCAAUGGAUAUGAAUAGUCACUUAUGGAAAUGAUACAAGGGACUGGAGAAAUUUGGAGGAUCAAAAACUCCAAGGAAGGUCUUCUGGGAGCUAUCCUGUGGAGGCAGGACUGGGAUUUGACUGAAAUUUGUUUGAAAUCAAUUUUAUGAUUCUGUGUUUAUUUUUCCACCAUAUUCACAUUUCCUUCACUGUUUCUUAGACAUACCUAGUGAUGCUUAUCUAAUAGUACAUUAAAAAAAUUUCAGAAAGUGUCUUGAAACUGUUACCCAUCAUUUACCUGUUCUCUCUCUGUCUCCCCAACCCCUUGCAGAUCAGUAAUGUAUCAAAUUAGCACAGUGUUCCAGCUAUUGUAUUUUGUGUUGAUUACUUUAGUUGUAGGGUAAGAAAGCUGUGCUCAGAAUUUAGUGUCUAGGUGAAAGCAGAGUGCAAGCAAAUAAGUUGUGUAGAGACCAUGGCUUGAUGAACAGCCGAUAUCAUUUCCCAAUGGGCUCAUCCUGCUUAUGUCUCCCAGGAAAAUCUCUCAAGAGUAAGAAGAAAGCAUACAAUUAUUUACUAAUGGAUGGAGUGACAGACAUUGAAAAUUAUUGAACAUUUCGAAGUACUUUCUCACUGGAAUACUGGAAAGAGAGUGCCAUUUCCUUCUUCCCUUGAAGAUGGUUUCUUAUUUGAUCUUAAAGUAGAGAUUUAACAUUGCACUGGGGAUUAUAAAUAUAUACAUAUUUGCCUGUAUGCUUAUAUGAUAGAAUAUUAUGUUUUGCUUAUGAUAGAACAUUAUGUUUUAGAUAUAAACCUGUGGUCUUGUUCUUCUCUACCACAAUAUUUCUUACUUUUUUCAUUUUCCUCAGGAAAAAUUUAUGGAAGGGGUUUGGAAGCCCAAACAUAUGAAAAUAUCAUACUAGAUAUAGUUGGUGCUCUGCCCUGAGAUGUAUCUGGUUACAGUUUUAUUUGUAUUCAGCCUGCUGAAGACUCAGUGUGUUCAAUAUGAGUCUUCAUGUCUUCCUUCAAUUGUGCCACAAUCUCUUCAUGUAUUGCCUUUUCCUUAUUCUUUCUAGUCUCUCUUUAUGGAAAUUCUUCCAGGCAUAUUUUAAUUCUUUUCAUUCUUUCUGCCAUGUAGUCUAGCUUCUCAUUUAUAUUUUGUAUCACUUCAUCUUUUUGGGCUCCAUUCUGGGUAAUUUUUUGAGAUUUAUGUUUGGAUGUCUUAAUUAUCUCCUUGCUUUUGAGUUUACUUGUGCUAGGACCAUACACAUUUCACCAGUUCCAGAUUAUUUUUAUGUUAAUUUAUAUCCUUUAGUUAUCCAACAUGUAGGAAGUGUGAAUUCAACCACACACCUAUGGGUGGAGUUGGCCUGGGUUCUAAUUGCUCCCAGAAGGCCCUUUAUCUACCCACAUCCUCACAUAAAAGAUAAGCAAAAAAGUAUUUUUCCUGUGAGGAAAGGUUUUCUAGUCAUCAUUUUGUGUCCUGGUUGUGCUUCUCGGUAGGAUCUGGGUUUAGACAGGAGCUCAGUACUAACUUCCCAUCUUCCACUGCCUAGAAACAUUGCCUUCUGUCACUAGGUAGGAUUAAAACCCUAGUCCCAGGCCCUUAAAACCAAUAUCCAUCUAUUUGUCUUUAUCUUCUGCUCACUGUUAGUUCCUUCUUUGCUUUCUGGGGAAUUCCAUUUCAUUAUUAUGAGCUUGACUGUAUUACUACUUUUAGAGAGGUGCAUAUUCUAUCAUUUCUGUGAGUUUCAGGUGGGAAGAGGAAAGUUUUCCAAGUCAGUUCAGACUUCCACUGACUGGAAACUUCUCAGAUAGGUUUAUUGGAUUGGAUUGUGUAGGUGACUUAUGGUCCUAUCUCUUAAGAUACAUUUGUGGGUGGGAGAUGGCUGCUUUAUAUUAGUCCCAGCCAGAUAGUAUAGAGUCUUACCAAGCUUUCUAUGUCCCAGCAUAGCAAUGGCAGGACGCAGCAGAAAAAGUCUUGAUCAAUCAAGGAUGACCCAGAAGCAAAUAGAGAGCCACCACGUCUGAAGGGGCCACAAGGAAGGAAUGGGAAUGUUGAAUUUUGUAGAUGACACUGGAACCAUAUGGACUCCUUCCUUCCAACAAUUGUAAGGCACUCUAUAAGCAUCCUCAAACUUAAACACAACCAUGGAGAAAAUGGUAGAUCUUGAACUGAUCUUGACUGAUUUCAGUCACCCCCAUGUAGUGAGACAACAAAAUGGAAAUCAUGAAUAUUGCUAUAGAAAAUAAAAGUUGGAUGUCUUAAACACUUGAAUUUGUGGACUGAGAUUUAUUCCAAUUUCAUGAAAAUAUAUCUACAUAUAUGUACAUACAGAUUUAUUUAUGGAUAGUAAAACAGCUGGAAGGGUAUAUCACAGUGCAUUAGCUAUGGCAUUCUGUAGCAGUGAGAUUACAAGAUAUUUAUAGUCUUUUUUGGCUAGGUAACUCUACUUUUCCUUAUUUCAGCUCAAAUUUCACUUCCUUAGGGAAUUUUUCCUGUCCCUGUCUACUGCCUUAAGGAUGUGUCUUGAUCUUCUGGUAUAUGCUUUUUAAUGUCUGUGUUCUAGUCCUUCUCUGUACUUAUAUGACAUUAUAAUUAUACAUACACAUGUGUGAUUACUUGGUUAAUGUAUAUACUCCACUAGGCUGUGAGCUUCAUGAGUGCAAAGACUCAAUCUGUUUUUCUCACCAUUGUAUUCUCAGUAACUUGCAUAGGCACUUAAUAAAGACUUAUUAAAUGAAUUGAUGAAUACAUUUCUGCAUUGUUUGAAUAUUUUUACAAUGAUUGUAGUAAUACUAACUUCAUUAUUAAAAGAAAAUAAAAAUCAUCCUAUUUAAAAAACAA
rnacentral:lncRNA from 1 species